UACAGAGGGUGCGAGCGUUAAUCGGAAUUACUGGGCGUAAAGCGUGCGUAGACGGUUAUGUAAGUUAGGUGUGAAAGCCCCGGGCUCAACCUGGGAAUUGCAUUUAAGACUGCAUAGCUAGGGUGCGGAAGAGGGAAGCGGAAUUUCCGGUGUAGCGGUGAAAUGCGUAGAGAUCUGGAGGAAUACCGAUGGCGAAGGCAGCCUUCUGGCCUAAUACUGACGCUGAGGUGCGAAAGCAUGGGGAGCAAACAGG
rnacentral:rRNA from 1 species